GACGAACGCUGGCGGCGUGCUUAACACAUGCAAGUCGAACGAAGAGCGAUGGAAGCUUGCUUCUAUCAAUCUUAGUGGCGAACGGGUGAGUAACGCGUAAUCAACCUGCCCUUCAGAGGGGGACAACAGUUGGAAACGACUGCUAAUACCGCAUACGAUCUAAUCUCGGCAUCGAGGAUAGAUGAAAGGUGGCCUCUACAUGUAAGCUAUCACUGAAGGAGGGGAUUGCGUCUGAUUAGCUAGUUGGAGGGGUAACGGCCCACCAAGGCGAUGAUCAGUAGCCGGUCUGAGAGGAUGAACGGCCACAUUGGGACUGGGACACGGCCCAGACUCCUACGGGAGGCAGCAGUGGGGAAUCUUCCGCAAUGGACGAAAGUCUGACGGAGCAACGCCGCGUGAGUGAUGACGGCCUUCGGGUUGUGAAGCUCUGUUAAUCGGGACGAAAGGCCUUCUUGCGAAUAGUGAGAAGGAUUGACGGUACCGGAAUAGAAAGCCACGGCUAACUACGUG
rnacentral:rRNA from 1 species